UAGCGAAGGGGGCUAGCGUUGCUCGGAAUCACUGGGCGUAAAGCGCACGUUAGGCGGCUUUUUAAGUCAGGGGUGAAAUCCUGGAGCUCAACUCCAGAACUGCCUUUGAUACUGAGAGCUUGAGUCCGGGAGAGGUGAGUGGAACUGCGAGUGUAGAGGUGAAAUUCGUAGAUAUUCGCAAGAACACCAGUGGCGAAGGCGGCUCACUGGCCCGGUACUGACGCUGAGGUGCGAAAGCGUGGGGAGCAAACAGG
rnacentral:rRNA from 1 species